ACACAUUGGAGAUAGAGCGGAAGACUUUUACAAAGUACACUUUACAUUCCAGAACUCAAGUUUUACAUGGUAGAAAGAGAUGUAUUUAUUACAAGUCCUGAUAGUACUCGAAGGGCAUAACUUAUUACAAUAACUGGAAGGGUGAAGCCUUUCCAUAAGAGAUAUAUAAAAACCUUCUAAGCUUCAAGUCUUCCACAUGAAGUAACUAACCCAAAGAUAAGGGAAUAAAACUUCUCCUACAAAAACAACAAGGGAUAAAACCCUGAGUACGCAAUUACUCAGCAAGACUUACCCGACUAAAGAAAAGACUCUCAAGGGUAUGCUGGCUUUUGGGAAUCAAGGUAAAGCUCAUCAAAGUUCAAGGACUCAUUUAGCAGAAAAGCUUACUAGAAGUGGGUCCUUAAGCCAAGUUUUAUUUCACAAGUUAGUUUAUUACCUGAAUCUUCUAGCCUGAAUCUAGCAUUUUCCUAAUCUAGAUCAUUCACUUGAUCUACACUAGGUUGCUUUUAAAAUCCAAAUUUUGUUUCGCUUGUUAUCUACGAUGAAGGGCAGCGAUCCAGUCUUCAUAUCCGAGAAGUAACGGCGAUCCGAAUCGAUUAAUACCCAGCUGGGGAUCUCCAACCACACGACAUAUGUAGCACUUAACCCUUGCAUAUGUCAACCAUUCCCACGGAUCCUCCACUACAUGAACUGGUCCGCGCUACCCGGGAGCACAUUACCCUACCAUUCAGCUUCUUGCCAGGAGGGUAACUGCUACUCCCACCAUCUCCCACGCCCAGUGCGCGGUUGUCUUUUCACGUAUGGAAUAGCCGGGUUCAGGCUUGCCCAUGACGAGGUAUGUGGCCAGUUAAAAGGUCCUAGAUCAUCAGGCCAACAAUCAAUACGGUCCUUAAUCGACACAGACGGGCGACCUUUCCUGCUCAGCGUCUGGUCCCAUUUUAAACUAUUUCAAAAUUUUGGCGCCUGACAGAGGGGCCAUGCCUGGAUAAUGAAUUUAUCAACGUCUUGAUGCCUUCAUUAUCCCAAGCCCAUUUUCUUUUUGUAAAAACAUGAGUCAUAGAUGAAAAACAUUUUUCUUAGUCUAUCAGCAUGACUAAGCAUCUCUAGCUUUUAUAAAACAGGUGACAAGGUAUGGUAAUCAAUCUUUCAAGGAUGGUAAUGCAUCAAUUGUUUAAUCAAUCAACUCCUAUCACCUGAUGCAGCAUAUAAGUGAUAAAAUUUUGUAAACACAAGGGAGGUGACAAAUGCACCAGGGCUUGCCUUGUUGCAGAAAAGAUCCAAAACCUUUCUACAGUUAGAUGGGCCUCCACCACUGGAUCUACAGCACUGGAGCAGACUCC
rnacentral:lncRNA from 1 species